rnacentral:rRNA from 1 species
UACGAAGGGGGCUAGCGUUAAUCGGAAUUACUGGGCGUAAAGCGUGCGCAGGCGGUUCGUUGUGUCUGUGGUGAAAGCCCCGGGCUUAACCUGGGAAUGGCCAUGGAAACUGGCGAGCUGGAGUGUGGCAGAGGGGGGUGGAAUUCCGCGUGUAGCAGUGAAAUGCGUAGAGAUGCGGAGGAACACCGAUGGCGAAGGCAGCCCCCUGGGUUGACACUGACGCUCAGGCACGAAAGCGUGGGGAGCAAACAGG